GGGGGUUCUGAAAUCAUACAGGACCCUGCCUUCCCACUGCUCGCCUUCUUUCGCUGCUGUCCAGAUAACCACGGUCCCAUCCUGAGAGGCGCUGGCCAUGGUGGACUUUGGGAGGCCAAGGUUUGGCGCCCACGCGACGUCCCUCACCCAGUCCUUGUGCAUCUGUAGCGCGGGGAAACAAUCCAUCCUCCAACUUCCAUUGGUGAGCUUCCACACCUUGACCGUGUUGUCGCAGCCACCAGACGCGAGUUUCUGAACAUAUUCAUACUGGCCAGAAGGUCCUGCACUGAUUAGAGCACCAGGUGCCAUCGAAGGAGCCCAAGAGACUGAGGUCACUCCCACUGGAUGCGCCUGAUCAAUGCGUGUUGUGUCCCAACCUCCAUCAGAACGAGCAGUGAAGACUGAAAUGUUCCCAUCAGAUGAACCACACGCCAAGCUUAGACCCAGCUCAUGAGGCGCCCAUGCAAUGGAAUUCACAGAGGACUUGUGCUCAACAAAGGUGUGUGCCUGUG
rnacentral:lncRNA from 1 species